UUAAGUUCAGCGGGUAUCCCUACCUGAUCCGAGGUCAAACGAUUGGUAUCUUGAUGGACGUAAAUUACAAGAAGGAGCGCAAUUGUGCUGCGCUGAACUGCUGAUAAUCUGCUGCCAAUGACUUUGAGGCGAGUCCUUGCGGACAACGCCCAACACCAAGCAUAGCUUGAAGGUUCAAAUGACGCUCGAACAGGCAUGCC
rnacentral:misc_RNA from 1 species